rnacentral:rRNA from 1 species
GACGAACGCUGGCGGCGUGCUUAACACAUGCAAGUCGAACGGUAAGGCCCUUCGGGGUACACGAGUGGCGAACGGGUGAGUAACACGUGGGUGAUCUGCCCUGCACUUCGGGAUAAGCCAGGGAAACUGGGUCUAAUACCGGAUAGGACCACUGCCUGCAUGGGUGGUGGGGGAAAGCUUUUGCGGUGUGGGAUGGGCCCGCGGCCUAUCAGCUUGUUGGUGGGGUGAUGGCCUACCAAGGCGACGACGGGUAGCCGGCCUGAGAGGGUGACCGGCCACACUGGGACUGAGAUACGGCCCAGACUCCUACGGGAGGCAGCAGUGGGGAAUAUUGCACAAUGGGCGCAAGCCUGAUGCAGCGACGCCGCGUGAGGGAUGACGGCCUUCGGGUUGUAAACCUCUUUCAGCACCGACGAAGCGCAAGUGACGGUAGGUGCAGAAGAAGGACCGGCCGACUACGUGCCAGCCGCCGCUGUAA